GUAGCCGGCGUUCAGCACGACGUUGAAGGUCCGCGGGCGCGGGGGUCUUCCCAGAGGCAAGCCGGGCCCCCCCCCGGGGCGCAGCACAUCUGCUUGCACUGACUUCAGGCAACAGAGAGCAGGAGAGGACCUCAGGCCAGCUGCCUGGACACCGCUUCCUGUAAGAACAUGGUCUGAAAGCCACCGUCACGGGAUAAAUAGGACCAGGACGGAUGGACGGAGGACAUCUAUCUGAACCGUCCCCAGGCAGGAGAAGCGGCUGGAAGUGGACUCUGGCCACCUUGGCGCUGCUGCUUCACUUUCCGUGGGACCCUCAGCAAGUCAUCCAACCGUCUGAGCCUCACUUUCCACAGGAUCUGGGAAUCUGCCUGCAUUCCUUGAUUUGGAAUCAGAAAAGUGUUUUCUAAUUUGUUCUUUGACAGUUUCAUUCACAUAUAUAUAUAUAUUCAUAUUCAUAGAUGUAAUAUCUUUUUAAUA